AACCGCCGUGUACGGACCCGUACGCACGGUGGUGUGGGAGGGGGGAGCUGUGAAGCUUCCCCCUAUCCCGAU
rnacentral:ncRNA from 1 species